GACAUCGGUUUGUUUAUGAUUCUCAAUUUACGCCUAUUUGCAUGGGAAUGCCACGUGGCACAUGAAGACGUUGCCAGUGAACGAGUUCUUUUUUUUUUUUUUCUAUCAAUGUUAUGUCACCAAAACCGAAUGCGGAAAGAAAAACAAAUUCACUAGAGGAAGAAAGACGAUGAGGAAGAUGAAGCACUUAUCCUCCAUUGCUAACGACGUCGUUCUUAGAUGCUCACGGGAGCUAGGGUUAACCAUUGAUGAAAUGGUGGAAGAGUUUGAAUGUCAAUGGAAGCCUGGAAACGAAGGUACUUCUUACUCCAAGAAGUUUGUAGAAUUUUGCAACUCAAAGGUGGCUACUCGGGUUUGUGAUCAAAACAUACCUGAGAGAAUCAAAGAUGGUUCUUUUACACGUCUCACGUUCGAUAUGAUGCUGGCCUGGCAACAACCUGAUGCUGAUGACAACGAGUCUCAUCAGGAAGCAGUAGGUAAGGAGAGUGAAGACAAGAGGAUUCAAGCAACCUUAUCACCGGAGCAAGACGACAUUUCUCUUUUUUAUUCAGACAUCAUGCCGCUUCUUGCUGAUCAUGAACCAAGUGUGGGUGAAGAUGCAUUUGUGUAUUUGGCCUCAAUCAUUCCUCUCCAUGUGGAUGUCAUCAAUGGAAGAUACACGUUUGAGACUCUAACCGCUCCAACUGGCCACCAACUUCACUUCCCAGCUUACGAUAUGUUUGUCAAGGAAAUACUUAAGUGUAUGAAACAUUUGCAAAAGCAAGCAAAGCCUAAAGGGGUCGAAUUGGCGGAUGAUGAGAUUAUAUUGCAUGUUGAAGGAACAAUGGCUUCACAAAGAGUGGUUCGCCACAUUAAAGAAACAAGCUGGCCUGGUAGGCUUACUUUGACUAACUAUGGACUAUACUUCGAAGCCGCGGGAAUUAUAAACUAUGAAGAUGCUCUUAAGAUAGAUCUUACCAAAGACGGUGCCAGUUCUGCAAAGCCUAUUUCUACUGGUCCAUGGGGUGCCCCUCUUUUUGACAAGGCCAUUGUCUACGAGUCUCCCGACUUUGAGGAUGGAAUUGUCUUGGAGUUUCCCGAGAUGACAAGCUCAACAAGACGAGAUCAUUGGCUUAUGCUUGUAAAGGAGAUAACAUUAAUGCACCAGUUCUUGAAGAAAAACAAUGUUCAAGCUCCUUCACAAGUAUGGGAAGUCCAUUCCAGAACAAUAUUGGGAAUCAUACGGUUGCAUGCAGCCCGUGAAAUGCUGAGAAUUUCUCCCCCGGAUCCAAAAAAGUUUUUAAUAUUCAGUUUGUUUGAGGAAGUUCCCAAGGGAGACUUUGUACUAGAAGAGCUCGCAGAGAUUAGUAUAAAGGUGGGUGCUACCAAAAACCCGUGUAGUGCUAGCUCCAUAUUGAGGAGUAUGAACAUGGAUCAGCUUGGUAACAUAUUAAAAGAAGAAGGAGAAGCUCAGUGCAAGGAGACAGUUAAAGAGACUGAUCAUAAAGAAGAAAUGCUUACUUCUCUUGAAAGUGCAGUAAAUCAAACGAGAGAAGAGGAAAGGGAGAUUGAAAAAGCUAAAGCUACAACAACUGAACUCGAAGAAGAAGGGAUUACUGAAAGUGUGGCAGUUCUUAUGGAGUUGAUGAGGCCAUUGCAAGACGCAGUGCCAUGGUUCCAGGAAGUGCUUUAUUGGGAAAGGCCUUCUCGUACGCUUUUUGUUCUAGCCAUAACUAUUUUGAUCGUCUACAAGGAGUGGGUUGGCAAGGGUAUAGCUGCUUGCUUAAUAUGGUUGGUGGUUAAAAUGGCUCAGAAUAGACAAAAGAGGGUACAUACAAAAAAGGAGGAUGAGGUAAGAGUGAGCACCGAAUCUGACCAAACAGUGACCGAGAGCAUUGUGUCGGCUCAAUAUGGCUUGAUAAGACUUCACCAGUUGAUGCAACAUGUCAACAUCACAAUCAUGAAGUUGCGAUCCAUAUAUACAUCCAAGGCUACCAAGCAUGCAAACAUGGUGAUGGCGUCGAUGUUAGCUUUGGCAAGCUUCUUUGCGGUGGUACCGUUCAAGCUGGUCAUCAUAUUUGGUACAAUAUACUGCUUUGUAAUGACAUCAAGUAUCGGGAAACGCAUGAGCAACGAUCAGAGUAACCGGAGAAUGAAAGAGUGGUGGGAUUCCAUACCCAUUGUUCCCGUUCGCGUACUGGACUCUUCUUCCAAGUAAUCCACAUAAUGUGAGUUUACUAAGGCGACUGUUUUUCGUUCUUUCCUAUAAUAAACUAAAUAGAGAAAUAAUGUUCAGAAAAAAGUUAUGUUUUGUAAAAUAUUACAACCAUAUGUCACCAUAGGUCCAUAACUAUUAUAAUAAAUAAAUUACAGAGUGUAUUUGUUUUCAUUUUCAUGGAUACUUUUGAUUAACUAUUAAACUAAGAAAACUUUCAUAUUUUAUU